rnacentral:rRNA from 1 species
GACGAACGCUGGCGGCGUGCUUAACACAUGCAAGUCGAACGGAAAGGCCUCUUUCGGGGGGUACUCGAGUGGCGAACGGGUGAGUAACACGUGAGUAACCUGCCCUUGACUUUGGGAUAACUUCAGGAAACUGGGGCUAAUACCGGAUAGGAGCUCCUGCUGCAUGGUGGGGGUUGGAAAGUUUCGGCGGUUGGGGAUGGACUCGCGGCUUAUCAGCUUGUUGGUGGGGGAGUGGCUUACCAAGGCUUUGACGGGUAGCCGGCCGGAGAGGGUGACCGGCCACAUUGGGACUGAGAUACGGCCCCGACUCCUACGGGUGGCAGCAGUGGGGAAUAUUGCACAAUGGGUGGAAGCCUGAUGCAGCAACGCCGUGUGCGGGAUGACGGCCUUCGGGUUGUAAACCGCUUUCGCUCAUGACGAAGCUUUGUGUGACGGUAGUGGGUAAAGAAGCACCGGCUAACUACGUG